CUAUAUGUCAUAAUUAUUCACGUUUUCCAUCUUUCUUUUGACAUAAUUUAUUGUUUAGUGUUGUUCCAUGACACCCCCAAAUCUAUCUGUGCUUCUGUUUUUUUCAUUUGAACUGAAUUGAUGUAGAUAUGACACUAAGAACUUUGGUUAACUUAAUUCAAUUACAAAUAUAGUUGAAAAUUAUAUACAAGUUGCAGGGUGGUUUUUGUAACCAUUCAUGACAUAAAUAUUGAAUACAGGUGACCGAAUGACACUAAGAACUUUGGUUAACUUAAUUCAAUUACAAAUAUAGUUGUAAAUUAUAUACAAGUUGCAGGGUGGUUUUUGUAACCAUUCAUGACAUAAAUAUUGAAUACAGGUGACCGAAUGGAAUCUAAUGAAGAUAGGUGAACUGACUGCAAUGGUUCUUCGUUUCUCUCGUCACGGGGACCAUAGUUUUGUUAUAUAACUUACAAGUUUGUCUAGGAUUUUUUAGAAUGAUAAAUUAG
rnacentral:lncRNA from 1 species